GACGAACGCUGGCGGCGUGCUUAACACAUGCAAGUCGAACGGAAAGGCCCUGCUUUUGUGGGGUGCUCGAGUGGCGAACGGGUGAGUAACACGUGAGUAACCUGCCCUUGAUUUUGGGAUAACUUCAGGAAACUGGGGCUAAUACCGGAUAGGAGCUCUUGCUGCAUGGUGGGGGUUGGAAAGUUUCGGCGGUUGGGGAUGGACUCGCGGCUUAUCAGCUUGUUGGUGGGGUAGUGGCUUACCAAGGCUUUGACGGGUAGCCGGCCUGAGCGGGUGACCGGCCACAUUGGGACUGAGAGACGGCCCAGACUCCUACGGGAGGCAGCAGUGGGGAAUAUUGCACAAUGGGCGGAAGCCUGAUGCAGCAACGCCGCGUGCGGGAUGACGGCCUUCGGGUUGUAAACCGCUUUCGCCUGUGACGAAGCGUGAGUGACGGUAAUGGGUAAAGAAGCACCGGCUAACUACGUG
rnacentral:rRNA from 1 species